rnacentral:misc_RNA from 1 species
UCUCCGUAGGUGAACCUGCGGAGGGAUCAUUACCGAGUGAGGGCCUCUGGCCCGACCUCCAACCCUUUGUUAUCAAAACCACUGUUGCCUCGGGGGCGACCCGGGCCCGUCGGCUCGGGGCCCCCGGUGGACCAACCCAUAACACUGCAUCUUUGCGUCGGAUAUCAAUGAAAAUAAAUAAAAACUUUCAACAACGGAUCUCUUGGUUCUGGCAUCGAUGAAGAACGCAGC